GAUGAACGCUGGCGGCGUGCCUAAUACAUGCAAGUCGAGCGAACAGACGAGGAGCUUGCUCCUCUGACGUUAGCGGCGGACGGGUGAGUAACACGUGGAUAACCUACCUGUAAGACUGGGAUAACUUCGGGAAACCGGAGCUAAUACCGGAUAAUAUAUUGAACCGCAUGGUUCAAUAGUGAAAGACGGUUUUGCUGUCACUUAUAGAUGGAUCCGCGCCGCAUUAGCUAGUUGGUAAGGUAACGGCUUACCAAGGCAACGAUGCGUAGCCGACCUGAGAGGGUGAUCGGCCACACUGGAACUGAGACACGGUCCAGACUCCUACGGGAGGCAGCAGUAGGGAAUCUUCCGCAAUGGGCGAAAGCCUGACGGAGCAACGCCGCGUGAGUGAUGAAGGUCUUCGGAUCGUAAAACUCUGUUAUUAGGGAAGAACAAAUGUGUAAGUAACUAUGCACGUCUUGACGGUACCUAAUCAGAAAGCCACGGCUAACUACGUG
rnacentral:rRNA from 1 species